rnacentral:rRNA from 1 species
UACAGAGGGUGCGAGCGUUAAUCGGAAUUACUGGGCGUAAAGCGCGCGUAGGCGGCUUUGCAAGUCGGGUGUGAAAUCCCCAGGCUUAACCUGGGAACUGCAUUCGAGACUGCAUUGCUAGAGUACGGUAGAGGGGGAUGGAAUUCCGCGUGUAGCAGUGAAAUGCGUAGAUAUGCGGAGGAACACCGAUGGCGAAGGCAGAUCUCUGGGCCGUAACUGACGCUGAGGAGCGAAAGCAUGGGGAGCGAACAGG